UGGGGGAUAUUGGACAAUGGGGGAAACCCUGAUCCAGCGAUGCCGCGUGAGGGAAGAAGGUUUUCGGAUUGUAAACCUCUGUGGACAGGGACGAUAAUGACGGUACCUGUUUAGAAAGCCACGGCUAACUACGUGCCAGCAGCCGCGGUAAUACGUAGGUGGCGAGCGUUGUCCGGAAUUACUGGGUGUAAAGGGAGUGUAGGCGGGAAGGCAAGUCAGAAGUGAAAAUUAUGGGCUUAACCCAUAACCUGCUUUUGAAACUGUUUUUCUUGAGUGAGGCAGAGGCAAGCGGAAUUCCUAGUGUAGCGGUGAAAUGCGUAGAUAUUAGGAGGAACACCAGUGGCGAAGGCGGCUUGCUGGGCCUUUACUGACGCUGAGGCUCGAAAGCGUGGGGAGCAAACA
rnacentral:rRNA from 1 species